GCGGGACUGCCCGGCACGAGCCGCAACAUUAUCCCUGGGCUAUAAGCAAUCCUAGGGGGCUGUCCCUACCUUGGCGACCGGGUUUGUCCCGGGGACCGGGGCACAUGGUCCCCACCUGACCUACGGCGUCAGAGGAUACUGGGGCAACGACCCAUGGUGGUUCCGCC
rnacentral:other from 2 species